CCCUUAGACGUUCUGGGCCGCACGCGCGCUACACUGACCAGUGCAACAAGCAUCCGUCCUUGGCCGACAGGCCCGGGCACUCUUUGAACGCUGGUCGUGAUGGGGAUAGACUUUUGCAAUUUUUGGUCUUCAACGAGGAAUUCCUAGUAAACGCAAGUCAUCAACUUGCAUUGAUUACGUCCCUGCCCUUUGUACACACCGCCCGUCGCACCUACCGAUUGAAUGGUCCGGUGAAGCCUCCGGAUUGGCGCGCACCUCGGUGCCGCCGAGAAGUUGGCUAAACCUUACCAUUUAGAGGAAGGUGAAGUCGUAACA
rnacentral:rRNA from 1 species